UCUGACUUGAUUCUGGGUUGUUCGCUCUUCAGGAUUUAGGCCCAUGGGUCAGCCCCUCCGUGGCCUACUGCAAUCUUUGGGACAGAAGGAGAAGAGAGAAUGACAAACCACGCCUGGGCUCUUAAAGCUGCUGCUGGGAGUGAUGCUCAUCCCCGCAGCACACAUUUUAUGGCGAAAGCAACCCCCAUCAUCACGCCUAAGCUCAACACUAAAGGACAUAGGAAAAGGACUGUGAUUUGGGGUGAACCAUACAAGCUGUUAGAAGUUGCUCCUUCGUUCAUUCAGUCAAUAUCUGUGAAGCCCCCGCUCUGUGCCUGGUGCUCCACUUGGCUCUCUGAAUGAGACCGAGGUGCUGUCGAAGCUAUGACCAUUUAGGGAGUUCCUGCUAAUGGCCUGGCAUCACCUGACUGACACAGGGGACUCCCCCAACCGCUGAGAGGGAGGGAGUUGUUUCGGGGUCAUGGGUUUGAGGAGAGAGGUAAACAUUUCAAAUAACCUCUGAGGAAAAUGGGGAAAAAAAAAAAAAGCUGAAUGGAGGAAGUGGAAGAGUCACCGAAGGCGUCCUGCAACGGAUGCAGAUUCCUGUGUCACUGUGUGACGUUUCCUGUGAAUGCUCAGUAGCCUGGAUACUCCCACAGAAGAAAAGAAGACCCAGCCGCUGAGUCAUCGAAGAGUGCGUCAACGGUGGGCAGCGCUGACAAUCAGAUCUGCGAAGACCCACAUCUUUUUGUUGAUGAGUCCCUUUCCUUGGGAAAUUACAACACUUGAGAAGGCCCCAAAGCACCAUGGAAGUUUGAAUAAGAAAAGACUUAAGUUUAAUUAAAAAGUUCUUCUGUUACA